AGGGUUUCUUCUCAGUAACGUAGCUAACGCGUGAAGUUGACCGCGUGGGGAGUACGGCAAGCAAGGUUGAAAAUCAAAGGAAUKGRCGGGGACCCACACAAUCGGUGGAUGAUGUGGUUUAAUUCGAUGCAACGCGACAAACCUUACUUACCCCUGACAUGUCUGGAAUCAUGAAGAGAUUUGUGAUUGUUGGAAACAGAGCCACAACUCAGGUAUUGCAUUCCUGUCGUCAGCUCGUGUGGUGAGAUGUUGGGUUAAGUACCGCACCGAGCGCAUCCCUUGUCAUUAGAUCAUACGAAAGGGCACUCUAAUGAGACUGCCGGUGACAAACCGGAGGAAGGUGGGGAUGACGUCAGAUCAUCAUGCCCCUUAUGGGUAGGGCUACACACGUCAUACAAUGGCCGGGACAGAGGGCUGCCAACCCGCGAGGGGGAGCUAAUCUCAGAAAGUCGGUCGUAGUCCGGAUCGCAGUCUGCAACUCGACUGCGUGAAGUCGGAAUCGCUAGUAAUCGCGGAUCAGCUCGCCGCGGUGAAUACGUUCCCGGGUCUUGUACACACCGCCCGUCACACCAUGGGAGCGG
rnacentral:rRNA from 1 species